CUUGCAGGUGCCCUUCAUGUAUAUAUCGUUAUGUUUUGACAGAAUGAAAUGAAGAAAAGCCGUCAAACUCAUAAUUAUUAGUUGGAUAUUUAUUUUUUUGUGUACGGAACUAAUAUAAAAUAACAUUAUCUGAAAUUGUGUUCACACACUCUGGCUGUAAAAGUAGACCUGGAAGGAAAAUUGCCCCCGGUGUGGGGCUCGAACUCACAACCACCAGAACACUAGCCCGGCGCUCUAACCAACUAAGCUGACCGGGCAGCUGGUUCUAACCCACACACACUACCCUCCCCCCAUUUACCGGUUAAGGCUGGUGGAGGGUCUCCUGCUAUUUACCGUUGACACCAUUAAAGUAUUCUGAUUGAUGGAGAUAAGGAAGUCCCCUUAUUAUUGUCUUCAACAAGCCUACCGCAACAGGGGACCUAGCAUAAGACCGGAAACCGCCCCCCCGCCCCACUCACAUGAUAUUUGCCAGUCCAGGAAAUGUCAACCGCAAGAGAAAACCAGUGAUGACAAGUUUUACAAAUAAUCGGAAAGUGUGGUCUUUUGAAGAGAGUUCUUGAAGUUGUUCAGCAUGUUGUUUUGAUGGACUCUUGGAAGGAUGUACCUCUAUGAUGUUAGCUUCAGUUCUGGAGUAUAACACCAGUUGUUGCAUAUUUAAUAUCAGAUUUAUUAAAUACAUUGUUGUUUUGCAAACAUUCCUUAAACUUUGAUAUUUCUUUGGUGUUUAUGUAUGAUAUUGAAGGUGAAUAUCUCUUUAUUGCAAUGGUAAAUAUAUUUUAAAAUAUAUAGCAUUAGCAGAAGUUAUUUUUCACUGUUAAAGCUGCACUUUCACAGAUUGAUCACUUUGACAACUUACACAGGAUUUGAUUGCAUUUAUCAUAUUUUGGCUCGGAGAAGUUUGCUUUGUGAUUUAUAUAUUAGGUCUUAAUUUAAAGAAUGCCAAAAUAAGCCGAUUCUGAGACAAAAAGUGUCAAACUAGAAUUCUGUGAGAGUGCAACUUUAAGAAUACUAUUAAUCGAGUGUGCAUGUGAUCCGGACUCUGAACAUUGGAUGAACUAUCAUUAAAUAUUGUAGAUUUACGUAAAUGGCCCAAAAUAUAAGAAUAACAAUGAAAAUAUGUACA